GGGGGCAUAGCUCAGUAAUAGAGCACAAGCUUAGCAUGCACGAAGUCCUGGGUUCAAUCCCCAGUAUCUCCA
rnacentral:tRNA from 1 species